UGUUUGUGUGGUGUGUGUGUGUGUGUGUGUGUACACAUGACACACACACACAUAUAUACACAUACAAUAAAAUG